UGGAUGUUGGCCUUGUGACAACCUGGUUGCUAAGAAACCUGACCUCGCUGACGGAGUACACAGUCGGGGUCUUUGCCGUCUACGAUGAGGGCCAAGCGGAGGCCACGACCGACAGCUUCACCACAAAGACCGUCCCCGAACCGCUAGGUCUGAAGAGCAGUGACAUCUCCACAGACAGCUUCAGGGUGUCUUGGCAACACCCAGCCUCUGAUGUGGUGAUGUACCGACUCACCUGGACGCCCACCGAUGGAGGGGACAGCGAAGAGGUUCUGGUGAAGGGAAACAUUAACACCUACCUGAUAAAAGGACUGAGCCCCGUCACGGAGUACGAAGUCCUCCUCGCUGCCAUCUACGCGAACGAGGUCGAGAGUGACGAGGUGGUCCUCGUAGAGUCCACAGUGAAAAGAGCGACCGCGAUGCCCACGACGACCGUCACCACAGCAA